UUCUGCCGGGUCUGUGGAGCUCCA
rnacentral:piRNA from 1 species